ACGUAGGGAGCAAGCGUUGUCCGGAAUUACUGGGCGUAAAGGGCGCGUAGGCGGGUAAUUAAGUCAGAUGUGAAAGCCCCAGGCUUAACCUGGGGAUUGCAUUUGAAACUGGUUAUCUUGAGGGCAGGAGAGGAAAGUGGAAUUCCUAGUGUAGCGGUGGAAUGCGUAGAUAUUAGGAGGAACGCCAGUGGCGAAGGCGACUUUCUGGACUGUACCUGACGCUGAGGCGCGAAAGCAUGGGGAGCAAACGG
rnacentral:rRNA from 1 species